rnacentral:rRNA from 1 species
CCUACGGGUGGCAGCAGUGGGGAAUAUUGCACAAUGGGCGCAAGCCUGAUGCAGCCAUGCCGCGUGUGUGAAGAAGGCCUUCGGGUUGUAAAGCACUUUCAGCGGGGAGGAAGGCGUUAAGGUUAAUAACCUUGGCGAUUGACGUUACCCGCAGAAGAAGCACCGGCUAACUCCGUGCCAGCAGCCGCGGUAAUACGGAGGGUGCAAGCGUUAAUCGGAAUUACUGGGCGUAAAGCGCACGCAGGCGGUCUGUCAAGUCGGAUGUGAAAUCCCCGGGCUCAACCUGGGAACUGCAUUCGAAACUGGCAGGCUAGAGUCUUGUAGAGGGGGGUAGAAUUCCAGGUGUAGCGGUGAAAUGCGUAGAGAUCUGGAGGAAUACCGGUGGCAAAGGCGGCCCCCUGGACAAAGACUGACGCUCAGGUGCGAAAGCGUGGGGAGCAAACAGGAUUAGAUACCCUAGUAGUC